AAUCAACGCUGGCGGCGCGCUUAACACAUGCAAGUCGCACGAGAAAGGGAGCAAUCCUGAGUAAAGUGGCGUACGGGUGAGUAACACGUGGAUCAUCUACCUUCUAGUGGGGAAUACCUCUGGGAAACCGGAGACAAUACCGCAUAAGUCCGUGAGGAGAAAGCCGAAAGGCGCUGGAAGAGGAGUCCGCGGCUGAUUAGCUAGUUGGUGAGGUAAUGGCUCACCAAGGCGAAGAUCGGUAGCCGGCCUGAGAGGGCACACGGCCACACUGGCACUGAAACACGGGCCAGACUCCUACGGGAGGCAGCAGUGGGGAAUCUUGCACAAUGGAGGAAACUCUGAUGCAGCGACGCCGCGUGAGCGAUGAAGCCCCUUGGGGGUGUAAAGCUCUUUCGACGGGAACGAUAAUGACGGUACCCGGA
rnacentral:rRNA from 1 species